rnacentral:rRNA from 1 species
UACAGAGGUCCCAAGCGUUGUUCGGAUUUACUGGGCGUAAAGGGAGCGUAGGUGGCAUUCUAAGUCUGAUGUGAAAGCUCUGAGCUUAACUCAGAAAUGGCAUUAGAAACUAGCCUGCUAGAGGAUUGGAGGGGAGAUUGGAAUACUUGGUGUAGCAGUGAAAUGCGUAGAUAUCAAGUGGAACACCAGUGGCGAAGGCGAAUCUCUGGACAAUUCCUGACACUGAUGCUCGAAAGCUAAGGGAGCAAACGGG